CAGUCGCCGCGGUAAUACAGAGGGUGCGAGCGUUAAUCGGAUUUACUGGGCGUAAAGCGUGCGUAGGCGGCUUUUUAAGUCGGAUGUGAAAUCCCUGAGCUUAACUUAGGAAUUGCAUUCGAUACUGGGAAGCUAGAGUAUGGGAGAGGAUGGUAGAAUUCCAGGUGUAGCGGUGAAAUGCGUAGAGAUCUGGAGGAAUACCGAUGGCGAAGGCAGCCAUCUGGCCUAAUACUGACGCUGAGGUACGAAAGCAUGGGGAGCAAACAGGAUUAGAGACCCCAGUAGUCCCUGUCUCUUAUAA
rnacentral:rRNA from 1 species